rnacentral:tRNA from 1 species
GGGAGUUUAGCUCAGCUGGGAGAGCAUCUGCCUUACAAGCAGAGGGUCAGCGGUGCGAUCCCGUUAACUCCCA